CGGACCAAGAACUCUGAAAUGACCACCAGUGGCAGAAUCAGCAUCUUCAGCAUCCUCAUCAACAGUUCGCCGGGGAACUGGAGGUAACUAAUCUCCUGGAAACACAGCAAGCACUGGGUCAGAGCAGACACAGUACAGACUCCAAAUUGCUUUCUUCGUCACCAUCUUCAAUGCAUUGUCUGUCCUGUCUGCACACUCCUGUCUAGCACCUGAACAUCAGGGACCAGUGAGAAGAAACUGGUUUGGAGCCAAACAGCCUGGAUCAUGGACACUAUACCCUAGGGAACUGCAACUUCCCCAAGGGUCUCACAAUGGGAGAAAAAGGCUGAAGUCUAGCACCAGCCAGAAAAAGAACUUGUCUCCCUGGAGAGAUUUCCUACAAUUCUGAUACUUGUCAGACAACCUUGUGGAAGAAAAAGGAGCCAAGACAACGAUGGGUCAAUGAUAGUGGGAACACAGCCUGGACCCCUUAGCCCUGGGUACCUCUGGCCUUCUAGUUAAUCUUAAAUCUUCAUGCCGCGGACUGUGAA